GAAGGGUGCAAGCGUUACUCGGAAUUACUGGGCGUAAAGGGUGCGUAGGUGGUUCUUUAAGUCUGCUGUGAAAGCCCCGGGCUCAACCUGGGAAUGGCAGUGGAUACUGGAGAGCUAGAGUGCGGUAGAGGGUAGUGGAAUUCCCGGUGUAGCAGUGAAAUGCGUAGAGAUCGGGAGGAACACCAGUGGCGAAGGCGGCUACCUGGACCAGCACUGACACUGAAGCACGAAAGCGUGGGGAGCAAACAGGAUUAGAUACCCUGGUAGUCCACGCCCUAAACGAUGCGAACUGGACGUUGGGAGCAACUUGGCUCUCAGUGUCGAAGCUAACGCGUUAAGUUCGCCGCCUGGGGAGUACGGUCGCAAGA
rnacentral:rRNA from 1 species